UACGUAGGAGGCAAGCGUUGUCCGGAUUUACUGGGCGUAAAGAGCGUGUAGGCGGUUCGUACAGUCCGCUGUGAAAUCUCCAGGCUCAACCUGGAGUAGUCGGUGGAAACGAGCGAACUUGAGGACGGUAGAGGGGGGUGGAAUUCCCGGUGUAGUGGUGAAAUGCGUAGAGAUCGGGAGGAACACCAGCGGCGAAGGCGGCCCCCUGGGCCGCUCCUGACGCUGAGACGCGAAGGCCAGGGUAGCGAACGGG
rnacentral:rRNA from 1 species